UUUAUCGGUGUGAGCCAGGCGUGGGGCGAGUGGGUGCCCGGGGACACUGAGAGAGCCACGUCAGCGUGUUUAGCAGUCGCCAGAGCCUCACCUAGUGCCACCUGUGAGGUCACUGCCCUGCUCACCCAUGGCCACUCUGCGUGUCCACAGCAGCAGCAACCACCCGUGGCUCUCAGCAGGAGAACACACGCUCCGGUGCACCCCAAAGGGGCAGCUUCCACCCUGGAGCAGCAGGAGUGGUUCCUGAGGGGCUUCUCGUCAUGAAGGCUCUGCCUGGCCGAGGCCGAGGCACCCGGCGUGGACAGGCGGCCUCAGUGUGGUGACACCAGGGUUUCUUCUCAACACAGCUCUCUGAGAAAGGGAUCCUGACCUGGCCGUGUGCAACAGCAGCACUCCAUGGGACCGGCCCUGGGCGGGGGAGAGCAGAGAGUUGUGAACCGCAGAAGGGAGGUGACGCCCCUCGCAGCUGCCCACGCUUUUCCAGCCCCAGGACAGCACACUGCCACUCCUACCUGUGAGCAGGGUGCAGCUGUGGACUCCUUGCCGGGGCCUUUAGGAAAGGAAAUGUGAAAUAACUGGGGCUGUGAGUCCCUGCCCCAUUCCUCACCCUAACCUGGGAGGCAGCGAUGAUGCUAACUCUGCACAGACACCAGGCCUGCGCGCUCACACGAUCCCACGCUCAAGGCCGCCGUCCCCUGGGGCAGUGGAGCUCUGCAGUGCGUCAGCAGUCAGCAGCUUGUGCUUGGCAACCACCUUGCUCCUUGGAUUUACUGUUCUCAUUAAGGCCAGCUCCAGACCCGCCAGAGGCAGGGCGCCCUGCGCAUGUGCAGCCAGCCUUGAAGGCUCCCUAAGCCUGUGCAGGUCCCCUGAGGGGCAGGUUUGUGUGCUGGCCCUGUUCCCUGUCAUCCAGGGAAAGGGGGGCUCUCCUGGGUGGGCCACACCAUCCGAGUUGCCCAUAGCGGCCUUCAGGGUCCUUCCCGUGUAGAGGGAGCUGGGAACCAGGAAUGUGGUCACCAGGGCCCCAGUGCCAGGCGCUGGACAGAGAAGUGCAGGGAAGCACUUCCCAGCCCUCCCUGCAGGCACGAAAGCAUGCGUGUGUGUGUGCACACACACACAUACACACACCCAGGACAUCUCUCCGAGGAAACACUUUCAUUUUCAUUUCUACAUUUUGAGAAGAUGUCACAAAAAAGAUUGGCAGACCCUUUGGAACUGUCUGGGGGGUUGAGGGCGAAUGCUGGACCCUCCUCUCCUACACCCACCCAUACCCUGCACACGGAGGUCAGGGCAGGGGGGUCUGAGUAUCUGGGGUAACAGGCCACAGCACAUGGAAUGGGCCGCAAAGCGUCCAGAUGGCAACCACGUGUGCGUGAGUGUGCACGUGAGUGUGCUCUGUGGGCUCUUUGGAUCCACACUGGAGGACUCAGCCCCACUCAGCCAAUUGGAAGCAUUCGGGAGGAAAUGGGUCUGCAUUGGAGCUGCAGAGUUCUUCCUGGCCCUGUGUCCCACACAACACAGUGCAGUGAGGACUCCACAGAGCUGCCUUGUGCUUGGGACCCUGAGUGAUCCACGGGGAUUUACAGUGGGUGGGAGCUUGCACAGGUUGUACGAGAAUACCACGUCAUUUUAUUGAUUUAUCUGUUAUUUUUCAGAUGGGAUCUGACCACGUUACCCAGGCUGGUUUUGAAUUCCUGGCUUCCUGAGUAGCUGGGACCACAGGCACACACUGCCAUGCCUGGCUACUAUGCUGUCCGAUCCCCAGGAUGUGAGCAUCUGAGAAUCUUGGUGUCUGCAGGGGCCCUGGAGCUCCUCCAAAUACCAAGGUGACUGUGUAGGUGAAGAGGGAGAGAAAACACACAUGGUGUGUAAGUAAAGGGUAGUAUAGUAAAACAGAUACAGACAUUCUUCAUACUAUUUUUAGUUUUGCAAUUUUUUUUAACUAUUCAAAAUUUUUUUUGAAAUAAAAACAUUGAUAAAGGGUGUGUGGUUUAUUCAAGGACACAGAGCAAAGGGGCAGUUGGAUGAGUGGUUUCCUUGUCCAAGAACAUCCCGGCCACUUCUUAUAGUCUCUGGAUUUAUAUAUUUUAGACUCAGUGUCAAUGCCAGCUUCUCUGGCUUCCUAGUUCUGUGUGUCCAGAUUUCAUGUACUUGUCUUUCCCCUUAUUGUGGCAGAUCGAAGUGAAUUCUUUUUUUGGUUGUUGAGCUUUGCUUUUUUGAGGCAGGGUCUUGAUAUCUAGUGUAGGCUGAUCUUGGACACGUGGCCAUCCUUCUGCCUCAGCCUCCUGAGUACUGUGAUCUCAGGUGUGCACCCCUACACCCUGUUAAAAGUGAAUUGUUUUUUCUUUUUGGUACCAGGGAUCGAACUUGGGACCUUGCGCUUGCAAGGUAGGCAGCGGAACCACCGAGCUAAAUCCCUGGCCCUGAAGUGAAUUCUUUGACAUUUCAUUUAUUUUGCUUUUGCUGCCUGUCAGUUCUGUGUGGAUAGGGCCUUGUGUGUCUUGUUCCUGGCUGAACCCCAAGGGCAGAGCCCAGUGGCUGUAUUACCGUAGGUGCCCAAGAAAUAUUUACUGGAAGAGUUAAUGAGUAAGUGAAGGAGAGAGACGCAUGGCCUCUGCCAGGCCACCCUCUUUGCUGUUGUGGAGCAGCCAUGACACAGAGGUGACCUGUAUUUCACCUGUGUGGCCAUGGGGAGCAGGGGCCGGGGCGCUCCAGUCCAGGGCCGCCCAGGCCCUGUGACCAAAGUGUGCCCAGGACCCCGGGCAUGUUUAUGUUAAUUCUGAAUACCAAAUGCAUCCAUUUACCCAAAAUCCCCAAAGCGGAAACACACAGAGUAGGGCAUGGGCCCCUUCCACCCUGCCCUCUCUGCUCCCAGCUGCUCUUACUGGUGUUCAUUUUCUGAAGGGCCCUCCGAUGUAUAUUGUUUAUUUACUUAUUUAUUUUGUUUCUUGACACAGCGUCUCAAUGUAUCAUUCAGGCUGUUCUUGAACUCAUGAGAUAAUCCAGGCUGGGCUUGAACUUGCAGUGAUCCUCCUGCCUCAGCCUCCGAGCACUGUGAUUCCAGGUGUGCACCACCGUGGGUAGUUUAGGCGUGCACAACCAAAUCUGUGUGAGCGUGGAUGUCCAUGCACUCUGGUUGUACUUUGCCUUGCUCAUGUAAUGACAGGUCACGGCCCGAUUUGUUUCAUAAGAGUUCCUGAAAGUCUGUCUUUGGUUUCGUUGGGAUUGGUUUCCUUGGGGCUGCUGCGCAUAUAUGGGUGUCGGUGGGUAAGUGGAAAUGCCUACAGGUCUACGAUCGAAGGAGCCAGCUCCAAACCUUCCCUGCUGUGCUGGGAGCCUCCUGCUGCCACGGGGAGUGAAGAGCACUGAGGAAUGACAGAGCAAGAGGCAGGGACCUCAGAGCACCCAAGUCCGGCAUGGUGAUCACCAGCUGCCAAAUCCAACGUGGCUACGAAGGCAAAGUACUCUGCAGCUGACUCAACUGGAAGGCACAGGGAGGGAGCUGCCCAGGGCUCCCGGAAUGUCUGAUUACUCAUGGGGUUGCGACAGUGUGGUGAGCUCCAGGAGCGAGGCUUCCUUCCUGGAUGACCUCAGCCUGCUGGGUGAGUAAUGGAGCCGGGCUGGCAGAACUGGGUGGUCGGGUGUGGCUGGGGCUCUGAGAAGG
rnacentral:lncRNA from 1 species